GGUUUUAUGGGGGAGCGGUUAGCCCCUGAUAUUCUGACUGCUUGUCGUGCUCUCGAUGCUCGUCGACGGACAACGUUCAAUAUUCUCAUGACUUCGGUUCGAAUACGGGUAAGACCU